AUAAACACAUGCCACUCACGUGGCUUUUAAAUACAAACUGAAAAACACCCAAACAUCCAAAACCCAACGGAAGAGAAGAGAAGAGAACCAGUCUAGGUCUGGCAGAGAGAGAGAGAGAGAGAGAGAGAGAGACUGCACGCCGUUCAUAGCCACUGCCAAGCUUCUCUCUACCGUCUCGCCGCCCUUGUCCCGGCGGCUCCUUGGUGGUUCCGCCGCACUGUUCAAUCUGGCAAAUCAGAUAAUGUAAUUUACAAGCUCAAAGAGAUGGGAAAGAUUGGGAAGAAAGAUAUAUUGCUGAUCUGCGAUUACUUCAGUAAGCUUGAUCGCAACAACUUUGGGAAGAUAACACUACCAGAUCUUUAGGAACCUUGUGACUGCAAGAAUUAUGAAAUCUGUUUCUAUUCUUUAGAUGGAAGAAAUGUAUAGUUACAUUUUUUUUCUUCUUCCAUUGAUACUUGUAAAGGUUUCAAGUCAUAUAGGAGCAAUGAAAAAUAGAAGCCAAUGGGAUAUGUCCCUCUUCUGUUAUAGGUUCUCUUACAGCCAUUAAAUUGAGAGGCUGCUAUGGAGGGUUUGAGUUGUGUGAUGUAGAUUUGACACUGUAAUAAUUCAAGUAGUCAACAAGGAAAGUAAACAAUCUUGGGAUGA